AUUGAACGCUGGCGGCAGGCCUAACACAUGCAAGUCGAAAGAGUUGCGAACGGGUGAGUAACGCGUGGUAACCUGCCUGGUAGCGGGGGAUAACUAUUGGAAACGGUAGCUAAUCGCGCAUACCAUCGGAUGUGCACAGAUGGGAUUAGCUAGUAGGUGGGGGAACGGCUCACCUAGGCGACGAUCCCUAGCUGGUCUGUGAGGAUGACCAGCCACCCGGGAACUGAGACACGUGCCAGACGCCUACGUGAGGCAGCUGUGGGGAAUAUUGCACAAGGGGCGCAAGCCUGAUGCAGCCAUGCCGCGUGUAUGAAGAAGGCCUUCGGGUUUUAAAGUACUUUCAGCUGGGAGGCGUUACCCGCAGAAGAAGCACCGGCGAACUCCGUGCCAGCAGCCGCGGUAAUAG
rnacentral:rRNA from 1 species